UGAGAUCUGGCAUGAGGGCCAGCCGGCAGAAGUGAAGGAGCCUUUCCAGAUCACCAAACCCAUCUCUGCUGAUGCAGGCUUGAAUUCUGUAGAGCUUUUCCUACGAUCUGCUUUAUUUACCUAUGCAUCCCUCUUCUGGACAGUUGCACCAUGGCUGGCUGCUGGGAGGGGUUCUGGAGGAGUAUCUAGCAUCAAGCUGAAGGUGUACAGCUCUAAUGACCACUGCUGGGGCUGCACGGAGACACCUGGAGGGACAAACCCAAAGGCUUUGCUGCUUCUCACUCACCUUUCUUCUUCUGAGAACCUGGGGGCAAGUGCACGGGCCAUAGCUGGGGUGGACAGGGGCCGUAAGAGCACCAAGCCCCGGCCAGAGUCAGGUUGGCCAGCAAACCACCUGAAGUACUUCUGGAGGAGCUCUUGUCACCAGAGGAAAAGUACCAAAUAUUGCUCAGAGCCCCUCGCUGCGGCCCCACCUACACACAUCUGCUUUUUAUGUGCAUUAAACUCUGUGCCCAGAAUACCUGCCAGCGAGAGUGGGCCUGGCUUUUAUAGGAACCAUCGUCAGCAUGUGAGAAAUGCGCAGUAAAUGUUAGCUAUAAAUCUUUCUCUGGGACACCUGGAGAGCGCCGGCACCGCUGCCAGCCCUGACUCUGUGAGGGGUUUCGUGCUGCUGCAUGUCCCCCCUCACUGCUGGCUGUCACGGUCCAGGCACAGACCCCAGCUUUACCGUCUGUAGCUUCACCUUUGCUUCUGCAGCAGCAGCUGCUGGUGAUUAAAGCUGGGGAGGGGGCUGGCAGCUCCCAGACCACUUUUUCCCACUGGUCCUCAGCUUGGCUCCUCUUCCUCUCGGUCCUGUGCCUUUACAGCUGUCCCUCCCCGUGAGAGCAUCAGGCUCUGACUGCCCAAAGGAGGUUUCUCCUCUUGCCUCUGCUUGACUUCACAGAAUCACAGAGUGGUGGGGGUUGGAAGGGACCUCUGGAGAUCACCUAGUUCAAUCUCCUGCUAAAGCAGGUUCUCCUAGAGCAGGUUGCACAGAGUCACAUUCAGGCGGGUUGUGAAUGUCUCCAGAGGAGGCUCCACAGCCUCUCUGGGCAGCCUGUGCCAGUGCUCUGUCACCCCCAAGAUAAAGAAGUUCUUCCCUCGUACUCAGAUGGAGCUCCCUGUGCUGCAGUUUGUGCCCGUUGCCCCUUGUCCUGUCACUGGGCACCACUGAAAAGAGUCCCAUCCUCCUGACACUUGCCCUUAAGGUGUUUGUAGACGAUGAGAUCCCCUCUCAGUCUUCUCCAGGUUGAACAGGCCCAGCUCUCUCAGCCUUUCCUCAUUAGGGAGAUGCUCCCUCCCCUCAUCAUCUUGGCAGCCCUCUGCUGGACCCCCUCCAGCAGUUCCCUGUCUCUCUUGAACUGGGGACCCCAGAACCGGACCCAGUAUAGCAGAGCGGAAGGAUCACCUCCCUCGACCUACUGGCCACGCUCCCUCUGAUGCCCCCCAGGAUCCCACUGGCCUUCCUGGCCUUGAGGGCACACUGCUGGCCCACAGGCAACUUGCUGCCUGCUGGGACCCCCAGGUCCUUCUCUGCAGAGCUGCCUCCCAGGGACUUCAUGUUCCUUCUGCUUUGCUCCGUGCGCCUCGCAGUGCUGCUGGCAUCAAGGUACCUGGGAAGUUCUUCCCAGGGGAACAAAGGAGACACCAAGUCCCUUGGGAAGAUGAUGUGCUAGGCAAGCUGGCAGAGGGAUGGGGGUGUUUGCCAGCUGCUGGGCAUUGCUGCUGGAGAAGCUCAUCAGCAGCUGGGGCAGGAGCUUGUCCAGCACCAAAGCGGCUCCCUGCAGCGCCCAGCUCCUGUGCACCGAAGGGACGUGUGGGGUCACCUUUGGCACUUCAGGUUACGCUGCUGUAAAAUGGCAGCAAAGUCCAAGGUGAAAUCAGGAGUGUCUAGAAAAUGUUUGAAGUCCCCUUGGUGGAAAGUAUCAAACAUAUCCACACCCCCCUCACACCGGCGUUUCCGAGGGACCGCUCCGAUGCCAAGGCACGGGGCACUGCGAACAGCAGUGAAGCCAGCCAAGGCAAGGGCACAGGCAGAACUUGCCAGAGAAAAAGAGGAUGGGAGGCGUGUUGCCCAGCUCAAAACCCCCCAGAUUGCUCCCUUUUGAUAACACAAGCUAUUUUCUUUCAAUAAAGUAAAGACGGUUCACUCAAGGAAGGGUGAAGCAUAAUAAAAGUUGCAAACCAGCUAUGUUAUAUAUUACUGUAUCUAUAUGUUAAUGCUGCAUUAAGCUAUGUGUAUGUUAAUACCUAGCCAAUAAAUAUUACACUUCAUAUUUCACUGCAAC